rfam:Dehalococcoides ethenogenes 195, complete genome.
UUGUCUGAUAUAGUUUUUAAUGGUGAUUAGCAAACGGAACACGGUUUGAAUCCGUGGCGGUCCCGCCGCUGUAACCGGGGACUUUGGUUUCUUAAAGCACUUUUUGUGCGGCCACUGUCAGGGCAGUACCCUGAUGGGAAGGGCGGAACCGGGGGAUAAUCCGGAAGCCAGAAGACGUGUUAACACCAAACCGGAUAC